rnacentral:misc_RNA from 1 species
AACGCAAAUUGCGCUCUCGGGAUAGGCCUGAGAGCACGCCUCUUUGAGUAUCGAUUCAAACACAACUCGUCUGCGUGCUUUUUGAGCGCGUUGGCAGUUGGAAACUGAGUUUCUUGCGUUGGCAAGAUUCUUCAAAUGACAUAAACUGCUCGAGUUGCUCUGUGAAAACUCGGUUGGUCUUUUUGCAUGGGUAAUGGCACAAUCUCUCGCAGAUGUGUUUUCUCAAUGCACUGAGAGCCCGACGUGGUUUCGCAGCAGUCAAUUCACAAGGGCAGCGAUCCUCUCACGAGUCUCUGGCUCUGAGAAAUUUCCUUGAACUAGAUCUCAAAUGAAGCGAGGAAACCCGCCGAACUUAA